ACAGAAUCCAUGAUGAAGAAUGAGAGUACCUUUACAAGUAAGGAGAAAUGCUCUCAGGCCCUCCUGUCAGCUUAAAUCAGUGAACAACUUCGAAAGAAUAUUUCCGCUUAGACUCCUUGCUGAACAAAAGGGCAGACUCUCCAUUAGGAAGGAUUCCUGGUGCUCGUGGGGAAGAGAGAGAAUUUUGUGUUUGAUGUCAGCCUUGGGGUGGUGAGGUCUCCAGCCAUUGCUGUAAACCUUGACCUUGUCUGCCUGUCAGAAUCAUCUGGGAAAAUUUUGCCACCAAGGCCUGAUUCUUCAGAAUCUCUGAGGGGAUGGACUAUUGAGCGACUUGAUGGCUACAUAUGGGAAAAUACCUGGAUGACCCAUAGAGCAACCCAGGAACAGCUGCUGAGUAGCUGCCCUGAGAAGGACCAUCACUCUCUUACCCAGACGACGGACCCAUCAUUGCCGAAGAGCCAGAGAGCAAUCUCGUCACAUUGUCCCCAACUACGUAUCUCAUUAGUGUCCCCUCCUUCUAUUCUGUACUUGUGUAGGGAUGCUUCUUUUUGUUCCAUAAAGCCUUUAAAGCCUUUAGAUUUUCUGAUAUGUCUUCUGGGAAUUCUUGAGGAUGGAGAAGGUAAUUUUUUUUCUAGACCACAAGAGGAAGGAAGGAUUUCAAUCCAGUUUUUGUGAACUUGAAACCCAGAUGAUGGGAUAAGGAUGGGAAUUACAGCACUUUGUCUGAUAGCCCCUUCAUCCUGUACCUAUUCUGAAUCAAUACGUCUCAGACUUUGUCUCACAAUCUGGAAAGGAUAAUGCAUUCUGACUUCAGUUGAUUUUAGUUUCUAUUUCAUACAUCCAUGAGAAAGGAUGGUUGUAUAUUAUCUUGAGAACCUAAGUGUUUCUACUGGUCAGCUCUGAUGAUUUAGCACAAUCGCUCUGCAGAACCCAAAUAAAUAACAUCCUUAUGUUUGAAUGAUUUGAUUUGACAUCAUGAAUAAACAAGAUGUCUUUGUAAUUAAUGGCUCCCUUCCCAGGCGUCUCAGUUUCAACAGCAUAUAGGCACAAACACAGAUAUUUAUGUG